GUUUUUAGAUAAGCCUAGGAGCCCCUUUUUUUCUUGGAACGAUACAGAGAAGAUUAGCAGGGCCCCAGCGCAA
rnacentral:snRNA from 1 species